rnacentral:lncRNA from 1 species
CCAGAACUCUUUGAAUUGCCCUUUCUUUCUUGAGUUUCCUGCCUUAUGGAGCGGCAUCUCACUGGAUGUUGGAGGAGAGAACUUCAAAGAGGAGCCAGAGGGCAGAGGUUGUCUGUUUCCAUGGACACUGCCAUGCGCUGGCCACUCCCACCAAGAGUCACCACAGAGCAUCAGCCAUGCUGCUGCCUUCCUGGGUCACCUCCAGCCCGAGACUGAGAUUCCCAUCACCGAGACUGGGCAGGCUGCUGCAGUCAUCUGGAAAGUCAGUGGAGAAGCCUGAGGUGUGAGGAUAGCAGCCCUUGGACUUGGGGAGCCUUGAGCCUGUAUUUCAGGAUCAGACAACAUCGGAUCAGAUCCAAAACAGCUUCUCCAGUUGCUAAAGGGCUGAGCUGCCAUGCAGAAAUCCCA